CCCGUGGUGGUGUAAUGGUAGCACAGCAGAUUGUGAUUCUGUUAGUUCGGGUUCAAUUCUCGGCCUUGGGA
rnacentral:tRNA from 1 species